UGCCACAGCCAUAUCACCCUGCAGCCCAAGACUGGUUGCCCACUGAAGCUAAGCAGGGCUGAGCCUGGUCAGUACCUGGAUGGGAGACCUCCUGGGAAAACUAGGUUGCUGCUGGAA
ensembl:rRNA 5S_rRNA 5S ribosomal RNA